rnacentral:rRNA from 1 species
AUAACGACUCUAGGCAACAGAUAUCUUGGAUCUCGCAUCGAUGAAGAAUGUAGCGAAAUGCGAUACUUGGUGUGAAUUGCAGAAUCUUGUAAACCAUCGAGUCUGUGAACACAAGUUGCCCCCGAAACCUUCUGGCCGAGGGCAUGUCUGUCUGGGCAUCA